AUUCAGCUGACGAGUGCCAAAUAGGGCGAAAAGCGCGUCCUGGAU
rfam:Schistosoma mansoni, Puerto Rico, WGS project CABG01000000 data, contig: 0010